rnacentral:rRNA from 1 species
UAGGGAAUCUUCGGCAAUGGACGAAAGUCUGACCGAGCAACGCCGCGUGAGUGAAGAAGGUUUUCGGAUCGUAAAACUCUGUUGGUAGAGAAGAACGUUGGUGAGAGUGGAAAGCUCAUCAAGUGACGGUAACUACCCAGAAAGGGACGGCCAACUACGUGCAAG